rnacentral:rRNA from 1 species
UACGGAGGGGGCUAGCGUUGUUCGGAAUCACUGGGCGUAAAGGGCGCGUAGGCGGCUUUGUAAGUCGGGGGUGAAAGCCUGUGGCUCAACCACAGAAUUGCCUUCGAUACUGCAUGGCUUGAGACCGGAAGAGGUUAGUGGAACUGCGAGUGUAGAGGUGAAAUUCGUAGAUAUUCGCAAGAACACCAGUGGCGAAGGCGGCUGACUGGUCCGGUUCUGACGCUGAGGCGCGAAAGCGUGGGGAGCAAACAGG